UGAAACCAUACACUUUAUAUUGAAUCACCACCGGGUACUCACAUACAAGAUAAGGUCGAGUAUCACCUCCCACCACUCUCUUAAAGAGCUUCACUAGGUCGGUACACUUUAUCACCCCAUUACACAAUGACAUUUCCCACCACUCUCUAAGUACACCACUUCCCACCACUCUCUUAGAGCUUCACCGGGCAAAUAUACCACUUCUCACCACUCUCUCAGAGCUUCACUGGGCAAGUAUACACUUUCCACCACCCUCUUGGAGCUUCACUGGACAAGUAUACACUCCCACCACUCUAUACUCAGAGAACUUCACUAGACUAGUAAUCACUCCCACCACUCUAUUCCUAAAGAGCUUCAUCGGACAAAUACCAAUGCUACUUCCACUACUC
rnacentral:lncRNA from 1 species